rnacentral:rRNA from 1 species
UACGUAGGGUGCGAGCGUUGUCCGGAAUUACUGGGCGUAAAGAGCUCGUAGGUGGUUUGUCGCGUUGUUCGUGAAAACCGGGGGCUUAACCCUCGGCGUGCGGGCGAUACGGGCAGACUUGAGUACUGCAGGGGAGACUGGAAUUCCUGGUGUAGCGGUGGAAUGCGCAGAUAUCAGGAGGAACACCGGUGGCGAAGGCGGGUCUCUGGGCAGUAACUGACGCUGAGGAGCGAAAGCGUGGGGAGCAAACAGG